AUUUUUUCGGUGUUAGGCACAAGAAGAUUUGGGCUUCUUAGAGGGCACUGCCCAAAAAAUA
rnacentral:tRNA from 1 species